rnacentral:lncRNA from 1 species
ACUAUCCCUAACUACAAAAGCUACUACCAUACAUAAUAAAAUCUACUACUACCAAGUAAUACAAAAUAUACUAUUACAGUGUCAAAAAUAUACUACUACUGUGUUGGAAAUAUACUAUCAUAACCAUAACCAGUCAAUUGUGAGCUUGUUGAGCGUUGAGCAUGUCAAGAGGACGGUUCCAUUCUCGGUAGAGCCUUCGUUUCCCGACGUUGUCGAUGCCAGCAACGACGGGUUUAUCUAGAUCGGAUUUAGAGGUGAAGGCGCUAGAUGGUUGAGCGGAUCAAAUCAGAAGGCGUCAUCGUCGAUCCGGAGGCUUCGUCGUUGGGCCGGCGACGUCGAGGUCGAAUCAGAACACGUCAAGGUCAAAUCAGAAGAGGCCGAGGUUGAGGCCGAAUUAGAAGUCUGGAUUGGAUCUAGAGGUGAAGGCGCUAGAUGGUUGAGCGGAUCAAAUCAGAAGGCGUCAUCGUCGAUCCGGAGGCUUCGUCGUUGGGCCGGCGACGUCGAGGUCGAAUCAGAAGAGGCCGAGGUUGAGGCCGAAUUAGAAGUCGUCGUUGAUGGAAUUAGACGCAGUCGAGGCGUCAACGUUAAGCUGGCAGCGUCGAGGUCGAGGCGUCAUCUUUGGCUGGCAGCGUCGAGGUUGAGGUCGAGGCGUCGUCAUCGUCGUCGGAGUAGCAGAUCGGCGCCGAGCUAUCAUCGUCGAGUCAGUGUUGGCUUGAGACGCCGCCAUGGCUGGAGAUUCAAGAUCGGAGAAGAGAGGGAGAAGGAAGACGAUGAGCCAGAGAGAGAGAGAGAGAGAGGAAAGUGAAGGAUUCGUGUGAGAGAAUGGAUUUGUAGGGAAUGAGGGUAUUUUAGGAACAUCAUAAAAGUAAAAUAACAGGUUUAGGCUUAAAAGUGGACUUAUAUGGGUAAAAAUAUUAAGGUGGACUUAUGCUACAAAAAAUGUUGAGAAAAUGACUUAAGUGAAAUUUUCUAUUGUAAAAAUCAUGGUAAUGGACACAUACUAAUACAAAACCCAACCAGCCCGAAUAUUAGUGGGCUUACCAAACU